UUACCAACUUUUAAAGAGAAAAACCCUCAGCUGGAGGUGGUUACUGAACUCAUUCGUGGGCAGCAUCCACAUUUGAAAGGCUUUUACAGUAAGAUACUCUUUCUUGGAUGAGUUUCAGACAUGAUGCAUUCACGUAUGCGAUGUUUUUAACCAUGUCUGAAAACAUGUAUCUUGCCAAUUUCUCAGAGAACAAAAAUGAGCGGGUGGUAUGCGUGAAGAAUAUGACUCCUGAAGAUAUCCUUCUUUCUGCAACCAGGCUAAGAAACGCAUUGGGAAGAAAGGUGGUGAAAUUGAAGACAAG
rnacentral:lncRNA from 1 species